rnacentral:rRNA from 1 species
AGCGAACGCUGGCGGCGUGCUUAACACAUGCAAGUCGAACGUGAAAUGUAGCAAUACAGAGUAAAGUGGCGUACGGGUGAGUAACACGUGGGUAAUCUACCAAAGAGCCUGGAAUAACCGACCGAAAGGUUGGCUAAUACUGGAUAGUUGAAAUGAAAUAUAAUGUUUCGAUUGGGAAAGGGAGCGAGCAAUCGCCUUCACUUUUUGAUGAGCCCGCGUCUGAUUAGCUAGUUGGUAGGGUAAUGGCCUACCAAGGCGACGAUCAGUAGCUGGUCUGAGAGGAUGAUCAGCCACACUGGAACUGAAACACGGUCCAGACUCCUACGGGAGGCAGCAGUGGGGAAUCUUGCGCAAUGGACGAAAGUCUGACGCAGCCACGCCGCGUGAGUGAAGAAGGCCUUCGGGUUGUAAAGCUCUGUCGGAAGGGACAAAAACGUUUAAGGUUAAUAGCCUUAGAUCUUGAUGGUACCUUCAAAGGAAGCACCGGCUAACUUCGUGCCAGCCGCCGCGGUAA